rnacentral:lncRNA from 1 species
CGGCGCGGAGCGGAGGUGCCGCUGCUGCCGGCCGGUGCCCGGCGCGCGGACGCGGCGCGGCAAGCGAGCAGGCGGGGCGGGGCAGAGCCGGGCCGGGCACGGCUGGGUUGGGCUGGGAGAGACGGGAGCGGCGCCGGCGCGGGCCCGGCGGGAGCGUGCGGCUCGAUGAACUCGCGCAAAGUGCUGGCCCUGCAGGCCCGCAGGCGGCGUCCGAAGCAGCCCGCGGCGGCCGGCAGGAGGGACAAGCACCCGCCGUCCCACAAAAAAAAUGGAUGACUUUGGAAUUCAAAGAUGGGGCUUAGAUCUGCACGUCUGAGGGGAUGGAUGCAAGUAGCUCUCCUACUGUGACAGCAGUGCAUUUGGAGAAGGCAGCUCUUUCUGUCUAGUUGCACAACAUUAAGGGGAUUGGCUUGGAGUUAAAAUUCAAAUACUUUGUUUUUUAUAGAGUCUGUAGGGCCUUUAACGAUCUUAUGAGCAUUUUGUUAAAUGUUCAGUGCUGAGAACAGCAGUCUUAGAUAACAAGAAACUUCUCAUUUGCUACUUGUCUUCGUAAAGGUCUCUUCAGGUUAAAUCUUUUUAAAGUAGUGUCUGCAAUGUUGGUCUGCAGAGCAGCUUUUGGCUUUAUUUGUUCAAGUGUUUAUUCAACAUUGCAUUAGAAAGCUGUCAUUUCUUCCUAAAAGAACCCUUAUACCUGCACUCACCGAUGAAGCUUUCUUAAUAUUUAAGUGGACAAAGCUAUGUAACAUUGCAUACUGAAUAGAAACUUUAGCUGAAGUCAUUGAAAAGGCUUUGAUAGUGUUUGCAAGGUCUGGUCUGUCUUUGUUACAGAAAUUCUCUCUGUAUUCUGUAGUAGAUAAAAAAUAUGCCAGGAAGGAGAGAUCUUACAAAUAUUGUAGAGAAAGUAU